rnacentral:rRNA from 1 species
CAGCAGUAGCCGCGGUAAUACGUAGGUGGCAAGCGUUGUCCGGAAUUAUUGGGCGUAAAGGGCUCGCAGGCGGUUUCUUAAGUCUGAUGUGAAAGCCCCCGGCUCAACCGGGGAGGGUCAUUGGAAACUGGGAAACUUGAGUGCAGAAGAGGAGAGUGGAAUUCCACGUGUAGCGGUGAAAUGCGUAGAGAUGUGGAGGAACACCAGUGGCGAAGGCGACUCUCCGGUCUGUAACUGACGCUGAGGAGCGAAAGCGUGGGGAGCGAACAGGAUUAGAUACCCCGGUAGUCCCUGUCUCUUAUAC